AAAAACAUGUCUUUUUGAUAAUAAUUUAAAGUCUAAUCUGCCCACUGAUUUAAAUAUUAAAGGGCUGCAGUAUAUUGACUGUACAAAGGUAGCAUAAUCAUUAGUCUUUUAAUUGGAGACUUGUAUGAAAGAUUUGAUGAGAUAUAAACUGUCUCUGAUUUAUUAUUAGAAAUUAAUUUUUUAGUUAAAAAGCUAAAAUAAUAUUAAAAGACGAGAAGACCCUAUAGAGUUUUAUAUUUUAUUUAUUUAAUAUUUAAUAUAUAAUUAAAUUAUAUUAAAUAAAUAAAAUAUUGUAUUGGGGUGAUAAAAAAAUUUAAUAAACUUUUUUUUAAAAAUGAACAUAAAUAAGUGAUUAAUUGAUCCAUUAAUAAUGAUUAAAAGAAAAAAUUACCUUAGGGAUAACAGCGUAAUGUUUUUUUUUAGUACAAAUAAGAAAAAAAGUUUGCGACCUCGAUGUUGGAUUAAGAUAAAAUUUAAAUGCAAAAGUUUAAAAUUUUGAUCUGUUCGAUCAUUAAAAUCUUACAUGAUCUGAGC
rnacentral:rRNA from 1 species